AGUGAACGCUGGCGGCGUGCCUAAUACAUGCAAGUCGAACGGAAUUUAAAAGAGCUUGCUCUUUUAAAUUUAGUAGCGCACGGGUGAGUAAUAUAUAGCUAAUCUGCCCCUUGCUGGAGGACAACAGUUAGAAAUGACUGCUAAUACUCCAUACUCCUUUUUACCAUAAGAUAAAUCGGGAAAGAAUUUCGGCAAGGGAUGAGACUAUAUCGUAUCAGCUAGUCGGUGGGGUAACGGCCUACCGAGGCUAUGACGCGUAACUGGUCUGAGAGGAUGAUCAGUCACAUUGGAACUGAGACACGGUCCAAACUCCUACGGGAGGCAGCAGUAGGGAAUAUUGCGCAAUGGGGGAAACCCUGACGCAGCAACGCCGCGUGGAGGAUGACACUUUUCGGAGCGUAAACUCCUUUUGUUAGGGAAGAAUAAGACGGUA
rnacentral:rRNA from 1 species